AUUGGAGGGCAAGUCUGGUGCCAGCAGCCGCGGUAAUUCCAGCUCCAAUAGCGUAUAUUAAAGUUGUUGCAGUUAAAAAGCUCGUAGUUGAACUUUGGGCCUGGGCGGACGGUCUACCUAUGGUAAGCACUGUUGCGGCCGGGUCUUUCCUUCUGGCUAGCCCUCGGGCGAACCAGGACGAUUACUUUGAGGAAAUUAGAGUGUUCAAAGCAGGCCUUUGCUCGGAUAUAUUAGCAUGGAAUAAUAGAAUAGGACGCAUGGUUCUAUUUUGUUGGUUUCUAGGACCAUCGUAAUGAUUAAUAGGGACGGUCGGGGGCAUCAGUAUUCAGUCGUCAGAGGUGAAAUUCUUGGAUUGACUGAAGACUAACUACUGCGAAAGCAUUUGCCAAGGACGUUUUCAUUAAUCAAGAACGAAAGUUAGGGGAUCGAAGAUGAUCAGAUACCGUCGUAGUCUUAACCAUAAACUAUGCCGACUAGGGAUCGG
rnacentral:rRNA from 1 species